rnacentral:tRNA from 1 species
UGCUUCCAAUGAGAUUUGAACUCAUGACCUUCACCUCGAUGUUUUUCAUUCUAACGUCAUAGAGCGAAAAUACUAAAGUGACGCUACUACCAACUGAGCUAUGGAAGC